rnacentral:pre_miRNA from 1 species
AAUGGAAUUGCUGGGUCAUAUGGCAGUUCUGUUUAACUUUUUGAGGAACUACCAAACUGUUUUCCACAGUGGCUGUACUAUUUUUCAUCCCCACCAGCAAU